GUCUUCGUGGCUCAGUUGGCUAGAGCGUUGGUCUCAUAUUCGUAUGACCCAGUUGAACAUUGGGAUAUCCAAAGGUCGUGAGUUCGAGCCUCACCGAGGACA
rnacentral:tRNA from 1 species